AGAGUUUGAUCCUGGCUCAGGAUGAACGCUGGCGGCGUGCUUAACACAUACAAGUCGAACGAAGCACUUUAUUAUGAUUUCUUCGGAAUGACGAUUUAGUGACUGAGUAGCGGACGGGUGAGUAACGCGUGGGUAACCUGCCUUAUACAGGGGGAUAACAGUUAGAAAUGACUGCUAAUACCGCAUAAGCGCACAGGAUUGCAUGAUCUGGUGUGAAAAACUCCGGUGGUAUAAGAUGGACCCGCG
rnacentral:rRNA from 1 species